rnacentral:rRNA from 1 species
UGCGGCAGACGCGCUUUACGUAUCGGAUCCAGAAUUCGUGAUUAGAAACGAUUGCAACUAAUAAUUGUAAUUAAUGACGGUACCGACAGAAGAAGCACCGGCUAACUACGUGCCAGCAGCCGCGGUAAUACGUAGGGUGCGAGCGUUAAUCGGAAUUACUGGGCGUAAAGGGUGCGCAGGCGGGUUUUGUAAGUCAGAUGUGAAAUCCCCGGGCUUAACCUGGGAAUGGCGUUUGAAACUGCAAGGCUAGAGUGUAGCAGAGGGGAGUGGAAUUCCGCGUGUAGCAGUGAAAUGCGUAGAUAUGCGGAGGAACACCGAUGGCGAAGGCAGCUCCCUGGGCUAACACUGACGCUCAUGCACGAAAGCGUGGGGAGCAAACAGGAUUAGAUACCCUGGUAGUCCACGCCCUAAACGAUGUCAACUAGUUGUCGGGCCUAAUUGAGGGUUUGGUAACGUAGCUAACGCGUGAAGUUGACCGCCUGGGGAGUACGAUCGCAAGAUUAAAACUCAAAGGAAUUGACGG